UAACGAAUAUUCCGCAAUGCGCGAAAGCGUGACGGAGCAAUGCCGCGUGUGGGAUGAAGCCCCUUGGGGUGUAAACCACUGUCAGGAGUUACCAAGCCUGAGGAGCUCCAAAGGAAGGACCGGCUAACUUCGUGCCAGCAGCCGCGGUAAUACGAAGGGUCCAAGCGUUAAUCGGAAUCACUGGGCAUAAAGCGUGCGUAGGCGGAUGUGCAAGUACCCUGUGAAAUCCCACGGCUCAACCGUGGAACUGCUCGGUAGACUGCACGUCUUGAACCCGAUAGGGGCUGUCGGAACGAUAGGUGGAGCGGUGAAAUGCUUAGAUAUCUAUCGGAACGCCAAUGGCGAAGGCAGGCAGCUGGGUCGGUGUUGACGCUCAGGCACGAAAGCGUGGGUAGCGAACGGGAUUAGAUACCCGUGUAGUCC
rnacentral:rRNA from 1 species